CGUCUCAUCCUCCGGCGCUAUUCGGGAAAUCAAUCAGCAGCAUUUCAUGAAAUGGAAGCUCUCCGUUUCUUCCAUUUGAAAAGUGCUUCACAGUUGCGCAUGGAUGACAUUCCCAUCUUGUUGCGCAAGUAUGGAAGGCUGCUUUCAACAUGAGAUGUCAUCUUGCCUUUUUGCUUUGUUCGAACUGAACAUUUGAAACUUCCGAAGAAGGCAAUGUAAAUCUUGCUGCGUAUGUGCCAUUUACUCUGACUUUUGGGUAGCAUGAUGGCUGAGGUACCAAUUCUCACCCAAUGAUAGGUCAAAGAACAUUCACAGAACUGUGCAUCAUGGACAUGUUUGUAGGACGUACGAUUUAUGAAUGACAAACUGAAGCAGCAA